rnacentral:piRNA from 1 species
UCUGGGUGCUUAAUUUGACUUGUUUCCCCUGU